rnacentral:rRNA from 1 species
GAUGAACGCUAGCGGCAGGCCUAACACAUGCAAGUCGAGGGGUAACUAGAGUGAUAGCAAUAUUACUUUGGCUAGACCGGCGCACGGGUGCGUAACACGUAUGCAACCUACCUUAUACUGGGGAAUAACUUCGAGAAAUCGGCGCUAAUACCCCAUAACACUGCGGAGAGGCAUCUCUUUGCAGUUAAAGCUCCGGCGGUAUAAGAUGGGCAUGCGUCCAAUUAGCUAGUUGGUGAGGUAACGGCUCACCAAGGCUACGAUUGGUAGGGGUUCUGGGAGGUGGAUCCCCCACAAUGGUACUGGAACACGGUCCAGAUUACUACGGGAGGCAGCAUUGAGGAAUAUUGCGCAAUGGACGAAAGUCUGACGCAGCCAUGCUGCGUGCAGGAUGACGGCCCUAUGGGUUGUAAACUGCUUUUGUACGGGAAUAAACCCUUCUACGUGUAGGAGGCUGAAGGUACCGUAAGAAUAAGCACCGGCUAACUCCGUGCCAGCCGCCGCCGUAA